rnacentral:rRNA from 1 species
UACGUAGGGUGCAAGCGUUAAUCGGAAUUACUGGGCGUAAAGCGUGCGCAGGCGGUUAUGCAAGACAGAUGUGAAAUCCCCGGGCUCAACCUGGGAACUGCAUUGUGACUGCAUGACUAGAGUACGGCAGAGGGGGAUGGAAUUCCGCGUGUAGCAGGUGAAAUGCGUAGAUAUGCGGAGGAACACCGAUGGCGAAGGCAAUCCCCUGGGCCUGUACUGACGCUCACUGCACGAAGCGUGGGAGC